GCCUUGGAGGCAGGUUUAGCUCAGUUGGUUAGAGCAUAGUGCUGCUAAUGCUAAGGUCGUGGGUUCAAUCCCCAUGCGGGGCU